rnacentral:rRNA from 1 species
CCCCCCCCGCCACUAUAUAAUCACCGCACCAUCAGCGAUGGAGGAAUGCUCGAUGCCUAUUUAUGAGUACAAAUGCUUGAAAUGCAACCAUGAAUUCGAGGCGAUGCAGAAGUUCAGCGACGCCCCGGUGGGGGCUUGCCCCAAAUGCAAUGGUGCGGUCAAGAAAAAGGUGUCGGCUACAUCGUUCCAGCUCAAGGGCUCCGGUUGGUACAUGACCGACUACGCCCGGAAGAACUCCCCUGGUCCGGCCAAGGAGAGCUUGGAAAGCGCCUCCUCCGAGACGAAACCCGCAUCCUCUUCCUCCACCUCGGGCGAUAAGGAAUAAGCACGCCCGUGCCGCUCACCCACAUCGAUCCGAACGGUCAGAUCAGCAUGGUGGACGUGGGCGAUAAGUCCGCUACUCAGCGCACCGCCCGCGCCCGCGGGCGGAUCAGCAUGUCCCGGGAGGGC